rnacentral:rRNA from 1 species
AGUGAACGCUGGCGGUAGGCCUAACACAUGCAAGUCGAACGGCAGCACAUUAAGAUCUUGCUCUUACGAGUGGCGAGUGGCGGACGGGUGAGGAAUACAUCGGAAUCUAUUUUUUCGUGGGGGAUAACUUAGGGAAACUUACGCUAAUACCUCAUACCACCUACGGGUGAAAUCAGGUUAUCUUCGUACCUUUCCAGAUCUCAUGAGCCGAUCUCGGAUUAGCUAGUUGGCGGGUUAAGGGCCCACCAAGGCGACGAUUCGUAGCUGGUCUGGAAGGAUGAUGGGCAAAACUGGAACUGAGAAACGGUCAAGCCUCCUACGGGAGGAAGAAGAGGGGAAUAUUGGAAAAGGGGCGAAAGCCUGAUCAAGAAAUACCGCGUGGGUGAAGAAGGCCUUCGGGUUGAAAAGCCCGUUUGUAGGGAAAGAAAAGCAGCAGGUUAAUAAGCCGAUGUUCUGACGGUAACCAAAGAAUAAGCAACGGCUAACUACGUG